UUCUGGGAAAUGGAGUUCUCCAUGGAGAGGGACAAGACCUGAAUGGUGUCCUGACACAGGCAUUCUGGGAAAUGGAGUUCUCCAAGGUCCCUGUGUUGAGCCUCCUGGUGGGGGAGGGGUCAUAUAGGAAAUGUUCCCCAGCUGGGCGGCUGCAGCCUUCUCACCUCCCCCCAUUUCCCCUCCAGCCCUGCCCUGCUGCUGCUUAGUUCCACUGCAGGCUGCCUCAGGCUAGAUCCUGGCACACAGCAGGUGCCUAAUAAGUGUCUACUGAUUGACUGAUCAGGGAAUGGAUCCAGCCUUCCCUAGGACCUGAGGGGGGGUGCCAGGAUCCCCCUUCUGACAGAGAAGGAAACUGAGGCACUGGGCAGCAGCUGAUCCUCCAGGCCCAGGCCCCUCCCACAGUUUCCCCUCCUCCAGUGAUUUCUCUGAAUUUCCUGCUGCUCCUUCUGCUUUGGGGUGAUCCUGGGGGUUCCCGCAAGGAGAGGCCAACCCUCUCCCCAGAGGAGGCAUCAGGUGACUCCGGGGCUGCCCUCCUGGGGCUGGAACCCCCAAGAUCUGGGCUCAAACCUGGCCUCAGACACAGCCCAGCUGGGGGAGCCUGGCCAAGGCCUUUCCCAGCCUUUGCCUCAGUUUCCCCCAUGGUGAGAUCCAGACAAUAAGAGCCUGAGCUGGGCCUGUGGGGAAGCGGGUCCACCGAGGGUCUGGGGGGUGGGGGGGGAACAAAGCUGCUUCCUCGGGGUCUCCUGGGCCUCUGGGCCAGCCGCGGAGGGUCUCAUCUCUAAUCUGGUCCCAGAAUCUCUAGCUGGGUGACCUUUACUGCUACCUGACACAAUUUCCUCAGUGGGAAAAUGAGAAGCUCCCUCCCAGGUUUGGUGUGGGGAUCAAAAGAGAAUCUUUGGAAAAUUCUUAGCACUGGAUCUGCUACAUAAUGGUUCUAGUUAGAUGCUUGAUAUCUUUAUUACAUUCCUUCAUUCAUUUACUUAUUCAUCUAUUUUUAUAUCCACAUCUGAUCUUCUAAAGCUUUUAAAUUCUCUCAAGAUAGAGUAUAUUUGAUAAAACUCAGUCAAUGAGUUGUCAAUCAAUGAGGCUGCCCACCUUGGCUCCAAGAUGGCUCCUGCUCCUGGCCUUUCUCUCACUCACCUGGCCCAGCUGAUCCCAGCCCCAGCAAAUCUGUCCUCAGACCCAGAUGGCUCAUCGCCCCAGGACCCAGGCUGCUGGUAGCAGACCCAAUUUCUUCAGGAUCAAAAACCAGCUGGGGAAAGUAUGGUCAUUCAACACAAUAGAAGAAUUCCAAACAUUCGUAAAGAAAAGACCAGACCUGAACAGAAAAUUUGAUGUCCAAGCACAGAACUCAAGGGAAUCAUCAAAAGGUACUCACCUAUUUCUUAAAUGGUCUCUUCUGGAUCUAUUUUCAAGGUUAGUUUUUUUAAAGACAUAUUUCACAUUUUCUUCAAUUUUAUCAUUCUUCUGAUUUUAUUUCAUUGUUUCUUAAUGUCUCAUAAAGAUAUUAGUUUCUAUUUCCCCAAUUCUGAUUUUUUUAAAAUAUUUUCUUCCUUGACCUUUUGAAACUCCUCUUCCAUUUGUUCAAUUCUGCUUUUUAGAAAACUCUUCUCUUCAUUGGAUUUUGGUGUCCCUUUUUCCAUUUUUCCCCUACCAAUUUUACUGCUCAGAUUGUUAUCUUCUUUUUGCAUUCUUUUCUUUUCCCAAUUUCUUCCCCUUCUCUUAUUUGAGAUUUGAAUUUCUUUUUGAACUCUUCCAGCAGCUGAGAAGAAUUCUCAUUUUUCUAUAAAGUUUUGCAUGUACUUGCCUUGAUCUCACUGUUCCCUACUGAGUAUCCUCCUUUUUUCUUUUUUUUGUCUCCAUUGAAAUUUUCUCUAGUUAGGUAUUUCUUUUGCCCUUUGCUCAUGCUCAUUUUCUCAAACUUAAAAAAAAAACUUUUAUCUUAAAAGAUCUCAGUUUCUUCAGGUUUUGUUUUAUUUUUUUUUCAAGUUGGGAUGAUAGCCUGUGAGACUCAGGAGUUCUGAAAGCUAUUGAUUCAAUCCCUCUAGGGAUAGCUUGUUGAUAGCUUACAGAUCUCAGAGCACUGGGAGCUACUUUGCCAUGGGGCUGGGGGCUUCACUAUAGGUUUGAAGGGGCCAAGUACUCCAUACUUUGGGGCUCACUGCAGGCUUGUGCCAGGGCUUGGGAAUUCUAGGGAUGGGUGUGGGAGGCUCUGCUCUUAGCUUAGGCAGGGUCCUGGGGUCUUCAAGUUGGUUUGUGCUCAGGAUCAGAACCUGGUGCAGUAGCUGAGGGGUGAGCUGCCUAUACUCCUUUGUGCACAGUUUUCCUUCUGGUAUAAAUAGAUCUUCUGUGUCUAACUUUCAUGUAGUUUUCUGCAGAACAGUUACUUCACUCCAUCCCCUUCUUGGUUCUGUGACUCCAGGUUUUUUCAGGCUCUAUUUUAAGGUUCUUUUGAGAGGAUUCUCCUAGCGGUUCCAGCUUUUGCUGCUACUAAGCCAUCAUCUUCCCCCUUAAAUGUUUUAACCAACUAUCUUUAAUAUUGUAGGCUUUAAAUUAAUGUCUACUACUUCAAGUAUUACAUUUCUAAAGUUUAAUAUAUGACAAAAUGGAACCCCGUGCUUAAUUUUUCUAUCUGCUCAAAAAUCCUCACUCCACCAAAGCCCUAAGAGGAAGGGUAAAAGAGUAAGAGAUGGAGCUACACCAAAUUUAUAUUCUGCCUAUGUCAACACAUAUCAACAGGAAGUGAGUAGGGUGCUGGGAAUCAUCGUUUUGUUGGGAAUUGUAGUUUUUUUUGUAUAACAGACUCAAAUUAUACACUAUGGUGCUUGUAACCAAGGAACAAUCACUUUAAAAGUAGACAUUUUCAUAGGGAUUAGAGUCUUAGAAAGCAUUUUACAAAUAUUGUCUCACUUAAUCCUUACACCAAUCAUGAGGAGUAGAUGGUCUUAUUGCCUCCUUCUCCAAGGGGAAAACUGACGCAGAAAUAAGUCCAGGGUCAUAGAGCAUCUCAGUGCCAGAGACCGAAAUGGCAUUCAGGCCUCAUGGCUCCAAGCACAGAAUGUCAUCCCCUGGAUCACCUAGAUGCUGAGAGAAAACAUUACAGACAUCCAUAACUGAGUCACCAAAAUGUUUAUACAAAGCUUUUCUAUGGCACCCAACAGUUGGAAACCAAUGAGUACUAUUGAGUAGCUGAGUGGUUGAAGAUAUUAUCCUGAGAGGAAAAUGGUCUGGGAGAAACUGAGUAGCCUAGUUCAGGUGAGGCAUCUUCACUGAGCUCUCUCAAAGUUUAGGCUGAUUCUUUGCUCUUUUACCUUCCAAACUCUAUCCUCUUAGGAAAGCCUCUAAUCUUCUGAAAAGACUGUGUGGCUGAGGUCUUUGAACUCCCCCUGGCAAAGGCCAGGCAGGAGAAAUGCUAUACCCUUCCUCUCCCUCUUCUCCUUAAUUCCUUCCCUCCAUAUUAAUUAAACCACCAUAAAAUUUUUAAACUGAUUUGGGUACUUUUUGGGGGAUAUUCCCUGGCAACUAAAUUAAUUUAGAUUAAGGCACAACCCUAAAAUUACCCAUAAACAGGCUGAAUUAGAAAUCCAGAUUAUGUAGACAAAGAAAUGAAAGCCUUGUAAGAGUAUGUGCCUUUAAACUGUGGUUAUUCCUUCAGAGGGUGUAGACCAAUGCUGAAUGAGGAGAAAUCCCACCAUCUGGAGGUAAGAGAAGAUAAGGGAGGAUAUGGGCAGAACUAAUAUCUGGGAUAAAGGCAGGAGCUUCAGAACUGGGAGAGGCAAGAGGCCAGGUAAGAUAACAAGAGGCACCUGGCCUGCAAUCUCUGAUGGAGAAUCCUGAUUGAUCUUAGCCCUGGUGAGUCCUUUCAGUAGGGGCUUCUGUUCUGGUCUCAUUGGUCUGAACAUGGGGCUUCUCUAUUGAAACUCUGCCCACUGUGGAGUCUGUCCCUGUUAUGGCUGAGUCUGCCCCACUCUCUUCUCUUCCCUGGGUCCUCCUCACACCCCAGCUCUCAGAGGAGUCCUCCCUUCUGUCUUGAUGAAGUUCCUCAAGCCUGAGACCUCCAGAAGUCAGCCCUAAACUUUAAAGGAGAGGAGGCUCUGGCUUUUCCUGGUGGCUUCAGUUCUCCAGCAAAAUCCAACAAUUCAACCCUCAUCCACUAAACUUCUGCUAGGUGCUAGAGGCCAAGUCUGGCUAAUGGAGAGUUAGAGGACAAAGGCAAAUAGUUCCUGUCCUCUGGCAACUUCCCAUCUACACCAAGGCACUCAGAUAAGGGAUCAGGGAAUUGAAGGACAGAGAGACUCCACAUUGAU